UACGGGAGGCAGCAGUGGGGAAUAUUGCACAAUAGGCGCAAGCCUGAUGCAGCCAUGCCGCGUGUAUGAAGAAGGCCUUCGGGUUGUAAAGUACUUUCAGUCGUGAGGAAGGUGUUAAGGUUAAUAACCUUAGCAAUUGACGUUAGCGACAGAAGAAGCACCGGCUAACUCCGUGCCAGCAGCCGCGGUAAUACGGAGGGUGCGAGCGUUAAUCGGAAUUACUGGGCGUAAAGGGCACGCAGGCGGUUAAUUAAGUUGGAUGUGAAAUCCCCGGGCUUAACCUGGGAAUGGCAUUCAAGACUGGUUAGCUAGAGUCUUGUAGAGGGGGUAGAAUUCCAUGUGUAGCGGUGAAAUGCGUAGAGAUGUGGAGGAAUACCGGUGGCGAAGGCGGCCCCUGGACAAAGGCUGACGCUCAUGUGCGAAAGCGUGGGGAGCAAACG
rnacentral:rRNA from 1 species